GACUUUGAGUACAGGAAGGAGCAGAGGUUCAACCUCAGGAAGGGGUGCAACUGUGAGUUCAGGAAGGAGGACGACUUUGUUCCGGAAGGGGCAUGGCUAAAAUGGGCACGAGUUUAAGAUCAGGGAUGGACAAAGGGUUCAAGCUUGGCCAAGACUGGAGUCUAAGACAUCGAAAUCAUGAUAAGGACAAUACGGCAGGCACGAACAAGCCCUGAAGCAAGCGGAAGAUCUAAGGUAAUAUGACAUGUUUAGUAGGUAUCCACGUUCUUCAUUCUUUGGGGGCGACACCAAGGACUUUUCGGGGGAGACUCAACGUGUCAAGGUUGUGCAGGACUCUCUGAUUUGUGCAAAGGCAUCAAACCCAAUGACCGUCGCUGCGCCGCCGACAGCAUUGGGUUCUCUUUCGCAUGUGGAAAAGCUUACUCUCUCUAAACUAGACCUACGACUCCUUGUACAGCUCCCGGUCUUCUCUGUUUGAUAUGUUCUCGCUCGGCAGGGUCCUUUGCUCCAACUUGAGAUUCGAGAAAUUCGUCUGACUUUAUCCAUUCGUGAUUGUGGGUGUUCUGGAAACUUUAGAAUAUAUCAGUGCUCGUGGCUGCGCUUCUCCAGGUAGAUCAGCUGGGCUGUCAAACUCGAAGAACCCGAAGAGUUUGAUGGAUUAAAUGAUGCCGGGGGCCUUGACAAACUAGAGUUCCUGGAAUUCUUGGGAGCCAUGCAAUGCCGAGUCAUUGGAAAGGUUGAUCGAUGUGUCUCUCACAAAUAUACCAGAUUAUUGCCGCGUCAAAAUACGAGAGUGCGCGCGGAGAGUUUAUCAAAGAUUCGGGCAAUUUCUUUCCAGUCUCUUUGAAGAACUAGAUAGAGAAGAUUCUUCGCGAAACAUCACUCUUGGGAUCCAAGUCAUACAAUGUGCGGACAUUUUCUUCCAUCAAAUUUGCGUUAAUUUUUGCGUAUUCUGGGUCCGUCCUAUGAAUCCAUUUUCAUAUUGCUCAUGAAAUUAGGAUUUGUUUUUGUACUCUUUCUUUCAAUUUUGCGUUAGAAUGUUAAUGCGAUAUGGUUCGGAGUUAACCUUUCCACGUGCAGGUCAACUAACAAGAAUUGUUUGUUUUUUACCCCAUAACCUGCGAAGAGACACUAGGGGCCAAAACACAUAAAGCGAGCGUCAACUAAUUUCAGAAAUGCGUUCAAUCAUGAGCUACACUUGAGGGAGAGGGAACUCCAUGGCGGAACAAUAAUCCAAUCUUAGGAGAGAAUAAGCAAAAACAAUCGGAUUUGUAGUCUAGUGGGUUUGAUUGUGUGUUUCUUUUUUAUAGAUAUAAAAUGACACUACUAAUUUUCAAACCUUUCUCCAAUAUGUAACUUUGUUCUUGAAUUUUUAAUUGGUGCAAUUAGGUCCUGAACUUUUAACAAACAUUCAACGCCAUCUCUAAAUUUUCCAUUGGUUCAAUUAGCUCCUUAUAUUAAUUUGGAAGUUCAAUAUCGUGCUUGCUUCAAAGAAAAGCUUACAAAUCAGCAAAAGACUACUUUCUCGAUACGAAUAUUGUCGUUGUCUUCUCUAAACUUUCAAUGCAGAUCAAGUCAGAUUGAGAAUGAUGGGAUGAAAUUAAGUUCUCUGUACCUGUUACUAGCAAAUAGACUCCAAACGUAUAUAUACUUACAGGAAGAUUAAUAUGGUCCAGAUGAAGAGGGAUAGGACUGUCGUGACUGACCAAGUAACUGCAAAUAGAGGCAGAGGAGGUGGAGCUAGAGGUUGUUCGAGCUCAGGGAAGUGUCCAGCUAAUGAAAGCAGAGGAAAGAGCGUAGCUUCAAAUCUACGAGGGGGCAUAGCGACGAGUUCAGGAAGGGGUAGAGGUUUGAGUUCCAGAAGUGGCAUGGCCUUGAGUUCAGGAAGAGGCACGGCUUCAAAUUAAGGAAAGAGCGUGGCUUUCAAUACAGGGAGGAACGCACGUUCGAGUUCCCAAGACAGGACAGAUGUGGAUUCAGAAAGGGGCACGACUUUUGAGUUCAGGAUGAAAUAGAGGCCCAUUCAGGAAAGGGCACAACUUUCCGUUCAGGAAGGGGCACAGGUUUGAGUUCAAGAAGCGGUAAAGGUUCAAGUGCACAAGAUGGCACGGGCUUUUUGUCCAGGAAUGGGCACAGCUUCAAGUUCAAGAAAUGAAAAGGCUUUGAGUUCUGGAAGGGUACCUAUUUCAAGUUCAGGAAGGGGUGGAGGUUCAAGUUCAAGAAGAGGAGACUCAAGACCAAUUUGUCAUGAUGCAAGGCGGAAACACGUUACUAUGAAUUCAAGGUUGCGGCAUAAUUAGAAGAUCGUGAACGAAAACAUCCACAGGAUUUGUUCUAACUCAAGAUUUGUGAAGGAGCAAUUUUAGGACUAGUUUGAAUCGGGUUCCUUGUUGAUAUUCUGCUUGUCAUAGUUUGUUAGGUGAAUGAAUACAGAAAAUGUGAAGCUACUGCUCUGUUACUAAUAAGGAUCUCAUGGGAAGCUUUCCUAUCAUUUCAGCGUGUAAGAAAUGUUUUAAUGCGAAAUGUCUUCCCUGCAA